CAUGUUCACUCCACAAGAAGGUAUUUGAGAAAUCAAUGUGAUUUCAUUGAAAACCAAUGUUUUCUUAGUAUCUUACUGCUGAAAUAUCUCUCAAUUAGCCUAGAAGUCGCGCGAUGCAGCUAGCACUAGUUUGACUACAUUGAUCGUCUUGACUCCUGACUGUAACGUUACUGAAAAUACCAACAGCACAUUUCUGAGGAUUUGGAAACAUCUGACGCAGCGGUUACACUUUGGAGCUUCUGUGUGACUGUUAUCCCCUUCCGCCUGCUCUGGGGGGAUUUAGGUGGACUGUUCUCUCCGCCAGUGUCCCAGACCACAGCAAUACAUCAAGAGAACAUCCAGGGGGGUCGUGAUGAUGGUGCAGCCAAGAAGAGAGUCUAAAUCACUCUUUCUGUGACACGCAGCCUCUGGAUCCCUU